UUUGACCUCGAAUUAGGUAGGACUACCCGCUGAACUUAAGCAUAUCAAUAAGCGGA
rnacentral:rRNA from 1 species